CCGGACUUCUCCACUUUUCCUUCUUAAACAUCAAGUGUAGGGAUAUUAUUACUGCCUUAGAUUGGGUGUUGCAAAUGUCAAAAACAGAAAUGGCAGAGAUUCUUCUUCCUAUUCGUCAUUUUUCCACUCGUUCUUGAAACGAAAAUCAUCUCAAGAACCCAUUAAAAAAAAACCACAAAAAAUGUCUUAUUUUUCUUCAAUGGAGAACAAAUCUCAACAAAAACAAUCUCUUAUUCCAACUUUUCUUUACACCUUCAACAAAAUUCAUAACCAAAACCAUGAAUCCCAUGGAGUGUCAAAAACAAAACUCAAUUCGAAUGUUGUCGCUGCUUCGCCAAAUGAAAAUGGGAAAAGAAAGAUAGAGAUGUAUUCAUCAACGUAUUAUGCUGCAUGCACAUUUGGUGGAAUUGCUAGUUGCGGUCUUACUCAUAUGACAGUCACACCUUUAGAUCUUGUCAAAUGUAACAUGCAGAUUGAUCCGGCGAAGUAUCAGAGCAUUUCCAGCGGUUUUGGGGUUCUGCUUAAAGAGCAAGGAAUGAAAGGUUUCUUUAGGGGCUGGGUGCCGACUUUGUUUGGUUAUAGUGCACAAGGAGCUUGUAAAUUUGGAUUCUACGAGUUCUUUAAGAAAUACUACUCCGACAUUGCUGGUCCUGAGAAUGCAGCCAAAUACAAGACACUGAUUUACCUGGCGGGUUCUGCAUCGGCUGAAGUUAUUGCUGAUGUUGCUCUUUGUCCCUUUGAAGCUGUUAAAGUCCGGGUUCAAACUCAGCCUGGAUUUGCUAGAGGAUUGUCUGAUGGUCUUCCCAAGUUUGUAAAAUCUGAAGGUUAUGCUGGGUUGUACAAGGGGCUUGUUCCGCUUUGGGGACGUCAAAUUCCAUAUACGAUGAUGAAAUUCGCAUCUUUUGAGACAAUUGUCGAAAUGCUGUACAAGUAUGCCAUCCCUCAGCCCAAGGAACAGUGCAGUAAAUCAUUGCAGCUGGGUGUUAGCUUCGCUGGUGGUUAUGUUGCUGGUGUUUUCUGUGCAAUAGUGUCUCAUCCUGCCGACAAUCUUGUGUCUUUCCUCAAUAAUGCUAAGGGUGCCACAGUGGGUGACGCUGUGAAGAAAAUGGGAAUGCUGGGUCUGUUUACUCGUGGUCUUCCUCUCCGUAUUGUCAUGAUUGGAACUCUUACUGGAGCACAAUGGGGGAUCUAUGACGCUUUCAAAGUUUUCGUUGGCCUGCCAACCACCGGUGGUGUUAGUCCUACGGUUUCUCUUCCUACCAUUCCUCCUCUUCCUCCCAUUCCUACUGUUCCUACACCUGCUCUUUAAAGCUUGCCUGAAGAUAUGCAAGAAGCUGGUAAGGUCUUCUAUAACCUGGAGGCAACUGGUGACAGGUCUGAAGAUGAUACCAUUAAAGGAACAUAACUAUAUAGUCUAAAAUCGGAACUUGUAUAUGCCAAUGGAGUUUUAACUGCAUAUAAUACAUAAAUUUAGGUUCCUCAAGGCAAAGGAUUGAAAUGGACGAAAACAUAAUGGGCAGGUCCGGGUUGGUGUUUUUGUCAGUUCACAUUCAUAUGCCGUCCUGCGAGCUCUGUGUCUGCUAAUCUAAUUUAUCUUGUAAACACUGUGAUUGCUAUAAAUAUUUACUAUGGGCAGGAAUAAAAUGACCAGAGGUAAUCUGGAACAGAAGGAAAUAACAUUUUGUUGGUUGAUUGACUUCCUUUAAAGCUUAACCAACACAGCUAAAAUAAAAAUAAAAUUGGAGUUCUUCAGCCGUGACAUGAGGGAUUUUCUUGCUUACAACUACCAUCUCCGUGAAAGCUACUAGUGAUGCCUUCUUUGUCGUGCGGCCUAACUUCCAAGCCGAGCUGCUUUUCAGGCGAGUCAAAUAUCAGCAAGUACAAUGCAGCAUAAGAGUAGCCUCUCCUUGUCAAAGCUUGAUCUGCUUUGAACAAUCCCAUUCAUGAGUUAACAACCAUAACUCUUUCUCUGCGAUUAUAAAUCAAGGACCUUAACUGUUCAAUAGAUUUCAGCAGUUUGUGCUAUACUUGCUUUGCA